rnacentral:misc_RNA from 1 species
AAGUCGUAACAAGGUUUCCGUAGGUGAACCUGCGGAAGGAUCAUUACCAAAUCCAAAUUCAACCACUUGUGAACAUGUCUUGUAUUGUCUUUUGGGAGGUUGGGAGAGCUUCUGCUCUUCUUUUUCCAUAUCAUUUGGGAAGCCUCCCAUUAGGCGCGUGCGCUUUGUUUGUCGCAAGGCAAGCAAGCCACAACCCAAUAUGAACCACAAUUCAAAAUUUUUCAUUUGGUUUUUUACAAAAACAAAAUGACAACUUUUAACGGUGGAUCUCUUGGCUCAU